CACCUGGAUACAUGAUGAAUUCCUGGGGGAAGUGAAAGACCCUGCAUCUGUCAAAUAUUGUUGGUUGAGGAUUUUUAAGAUGUAUAUAUAAUUCAAUUUUUGAUGACAAAAUUUCUGCUGUUUGGACUUGGCUGUUAUCUGGUGUAUCAUGAGAUUCAGAAAACAUUGGCAGCUGUUCUGCCCAUUGAGAGGCUGCCUGUCUCAUACAAGGAAAUGUCUUGCUGUGAACAUUCAGACUCAGAUGCUGUGUGAGCAGAACCACAAACAAGAAGAGAUUCUUGCUGAGAGAAACAUUUCAGUUGCAGUUCCUGAAAUCUAAGGAACAAACAUUGGAGAAUUUGCAAGCUCGGCUCGGCAGGACUGAUCAUGAGUUUGGCUGUCUGGAGUUGGCAUUGAGGUUUAUCAGUGAGAACAAUUAUUGUCAUCUGAAUCUGAAUGUUAAAAAUAAUAAUAGUACAUGACUGAAUACUAAAAUUAUUUUGCAGCAUUUUAUUUCAGGGAGGGAAAAAAGACCAAGACAUGCAGACAAGAAGGUGUAAUUACUGACAAACACACUGGAUUCUGAUGGGUUUGGGCCACCAGGCUGAACUAAGAGCAGCAGGUUACUGGCAGAGGAUUAAUUACCAUGUAACAUAUGUGCUGUUGGUUUUGUGAAACCAAAUCAAGGUUUAAUUAAGUCAGGAUAUCUGAUAAAUCAUGGUUUAAUCUUCUAUCCUUUUUUGGGAAACAUCACUCAAAGUUUGAA